GGAAAAUGGCUCCUUCAUCAGAAGUCCUUUGGAGUAAAUAAAAAGUAAAAGAGGUAGAUAUCAUAUAGGGGAGGGGACAGGAGAAGAGAUGGGCCAGCUGGGAGUAUAAAGCCUGUGUGGUUUGAAGAGCGCCAGGAAUGAGGCAGUAAGCAAAAGAAAAGUCACCAGAAGAUAAUGCUGAAAUAUCAUGUCAGGAACAGCGUGGACAGGCUUUAGGUUAAAGAGGAAAAAUCAGAGACUUGGAUUAUAAAUUAGCCCUGGAUUAUAGAGGUGCCCUGUAGCAGAAUUUUAACAGAAUGUUUGUAUCUGCCAUGAAUCUGGAGUAAUGGCACCUAAGCUUUGAAGUAGCUUUUGUCAGUGAUUGUUAUCUGAGAUUUUUAUGGGGUUAUUCCUUUGAAGGUUUUUUCAGCCUUUGCAUAUCAUAGUCAGGAGAUAGGUCUGGCAAACCGGGACAUCUCCCAUGGUUGAGAAUUGCUUAGGUGAUUGUAGGAUGAUGUCAUACAGGUGAAGGCAGGUACAAGAUAGAAUGAGGCCUGUCAUUGGACGAGAAGGAAGGAUGGGCGGGAGAAAAGUUUUAGAGAGAGGAGACUGGAACCAGAGGAGAGAAGCAGCUAGGAGAAAAUGGAGGUGGAUGUUAAGAUCCCUCUCUGUACACUUACAGGUUGUUAUGAAUAUUCUUAAGGGAUGUAUAUGUCCAGGGCUUUGUAUGUUUAGGUGGGCAAUUAUAUCUUAUCAAUUGGAUCAG
rnacentral:lncRNA from 1 species